rnacentral:rRNA from 1 species
GAUUCUGGUUCAGGAUGAACGCUGGCGGCGUGCUUAACACAUGCAAGUCGAACGAAGCUAAGGGAGCUUGCUCCCAAAGCUUAGUGGCGGACGGGUGAGUAACGCGUGGGUAACCUGCCCUAUAGAGGGGGAUAACGUUCGGAAACGAACGCUAAUACCGCAUAAACCAUAAGGAGCUGCAUGGCUCUGAUGGCAAAGAUUUAUCGCUAUAGGAUGGACCUGCGUUGGAUUAGCUAGUUGGUGAGAUAACAGCUCACCAAGGCGACGAUCCAUAGCCGGCCUGAGAGGGUGAACGGCCACAUUGGGACUGAGACACGGCCCAAACUCCUACGGGAGGCAGCAGUGGGGAAUAUUGCACAAUGGGCGCAAGCCUGAUGCCAGCGACGCCGCGUGAAGGAAGAAGGUCUUCGGAUUGUAAACUUCUAUCAGCAGGGAAGAAUAAAUGACGGUACCUGACUAAGAAGCCCCGGCUAACUACGUGCCAGCAGCCGC